GAUAUGUUUCUAUGUGUCGUGUGUAAAAGUGCUGUAAAAGGACAGUUCGAAAGACAUCACUGGAGGCAAAUCUGAGAUUAUAGGAUAAAUAGAGUUAUUGCAAUAAUGGCAGCUCCAUAUAACUCAGAACCCAGACAGAAUUGGUAUCCACCUUCAUCUGGUGUAGUUGGAAUACCACCAGCUGGCGGAUUAGGUUAUCCACCACCAGGACCUGCAGGUGUUCAGUGGAUGUCUCUUCCCUCGGCUCCCC